rnacentral:rRNA from 1 species
GGAGUUUGGGCCGUGUCUCAGUCCCAAUGUGGCCGUUCACCCUCUCAGGCCGGCUACUGAUCGUCGACUUGGUGAGCCGUUACCUCACCAACUAUCUAAUCAGACGCGGGUCCAUCUUACACCGAUAAAUCUUUUCACACUGUAUCAUGCGAUACCGUGCGCUUAUGCGGUAUUAGCAGUCGUUUCCAACUGUUGUCCCCCGGUAUGGGGCAGAUUGCCCACGCGUUACUCACCCGUCCGCCACUAAGUCAUAAGGUCUUCAUUCCGAAGAAAUCAAACCAAAUGCUUCGUUCGACUUGCAUGUGUUAAGCACGCCGCCAGCGUUCAUC